rnacentral:lncRNA from 1 species
AAAUAAAAGACGAAUAUUACAUAUAUAAAUACGUAAUAAAAAAAAUAAAUUUGGGCGAUGAUGAAAUUCUUAUAACAACGCAAAAGUUUUAUGAUUCGUAUCUUGACAAGACGAUUUAGGAUGGUUACUAAAUUAGCAACCACUUCGUAGCCAUGCCGUAUUUAAAAUCUAAUCUUAGCCCACGCUUUUUAACAAAACUUAUAUUUUUAGAUAUACAUGCAUACAUAUCUUUUCAAUUUAUUUUGAUAAAUUAUUUAUUUGUUACUAACAUUUUUAUUACGAGUGUUUGUACAGGUUAUUGGGAAUACUCACCGGG